rnacentral:rRNA from 1 species
UACGUAGGAGACGAGCGUUGUCCGGAGUUACUGGGCGUAAAGGGUGCGCAGGUGGCGGCGCGCGUGGGGGGGUGAAAUCGCCCGGCUUAACUGGGCGGGGGGCCUUCCAGACGGCGUGGCUUGAGCAGCGGGAGGGGGGACGUGGAAUUCCGGGUGGAGCGGUGAAAAUGCGUAGAGAUCCGGAGGAACACCGACGGCGCAGGCAGCGUCC